rnacentral:rRNA from 1 species
GUAGGUGGCAAGCGUUGUCCGGAAUUAUUGGGCGUAAAGCGCGCGCAGGCGGUUCUUUAAGUCUGAUGUGAAAGCCCACGGCUCAACCGUGGAGGGUCAUUGGAAACUGGAGAACUUGAGUACAGAAGAGGAAAGCGGAAUUCCACGUGUAGCGGUGAAAUGCGUAGAGAUGUGGAGGAACACCAGUGGCGAAGGCGGCUUUCUGGUCUGUAACUGACGCUGAGGCGCGAAAGCGUGGGGAGCAAACAGGAUUAGAUACCCGUGGUAGUCCACGCCGUAAACGAUGAGUGCUAAGUGUUAGGGGGGUUUCCGCCCCCCUUAGUGCUGCAGCUAACGCAUUAAGCACUCCGCCUGGGAGUACGGCCGCAAGGCUG